UUUUAGCACCGUUCAUGUUCAAUAUUUGACCGUUCGUCUUAAUUAAAAAAAUUUUAUGAUUACUACUUUUAUUGUUAUUAGAUGAUAAAAUAUGAAUAGUACUUUAUGUGUGACUAAUUUUUUAAUAUUUUUCAUAAAUUUUUUAAAUAAGACGGAUGGUCAAAUCAAUAUCUAUGGCUGCAUUUAUU
rfam:Oryza glaberrima chromosome 3 Oglab03_0002_5, whole genome shotgun sequence.